rnacentral:lncRNA from 1 species
ACUGCACUGCACUGCAGCCUGGGCAACAGAGCAAGACUGUCUCAAACAAACAAACAAACAAAAACAAAAACUCCCCUGUGGUCCUCAUCUGAGAGACCCUUGUUACCUCCUCAGCCUCUUGGGCCUCCCUCCCUCGCUCUGAUCCAGCCACACUGGCCUCCACUCUUCUUCAGUGUGCCAGGUGCACUCGGGGCCUGUGCCCUCAGAGAGGCAGCUCCCCCCACAGCUUCACAAAUACGACUGCUUUUCAAAGUGUCAUCUCCUCAGGGAGGCCCUCCCUGACCACAGUAUCUAAAUCCUGAGCCGCAAAGCCCCUUCACUUCCUUCCCUGCCUGUUGUCCUAUGAGCUGGUCUUGCGCAUUCCUUGAUGCAGGUCUCUGCCGUGACUUGGCUUUGCUCACGUGGUGUCCUUGGCCGCGAGCCAGUGCCUGCUAGGUGGUGGGUGCUCAACAUUCAUCAUAAGCCUUUUGCUGGCUAAGCAUCCUUUGUGCUGGGUAACGGGGGGCAUAGGGGAUGAUUGCCCCUACUGCCAUCCCCCACCCCAGUGAAGACCAUGAGUGAUAGGGAUGCUACAAGCCAGUGCUCUCAGGGCUGGGGUGGGCCUCCCAAGGCCCCUCCAGCUGGCCAGGGAAGAGGGCAGGCUGAAAGGCAGGCUCAGGUGUGUCAGCCCCCUGACCUCCCCGCAAGGGCACCAUCAGGAGCCCCCAUGCUACAGACUCUGGGAGGCAAAAUCACACAGUGCCCCAGCCAUGGGGAAUAGCGAAGUUGAGCCAGGGCUCCAAUCCUCAUCUGCCCACCCCCAGCCCCAGCACCCCCAACACCUGGUCUCCCUCCAGCCGCCUUCCCGCCCACACCUUCCCCUGCCACCCAGCCCCUGCAUUUGUGAUGCCCUGCCUGACCCAAACUGCAUGUCCCAGCAGAGAAAACCUCCUCUCCUCCAGGGAGCCUUCUCUGACCACUGAGUCAUGAUUAGUGCAAUUCCUGUGCCUCUCCCUCAGCACUGAGCUUAUCGAACCGGCCAUGGUUUCCUGAUGACGCAACUGCCUCCACCAUCUGACUGGGAGAGUUCCUCUUGGGGUUGGGAUGGUAGAGGCAGAGACAGACAUGGUGAGUGUGACACCCCCAAAUACAGAAUCCCUGUUCAGAGUCAGAUCCCCCCUCCAGGCAGGUGGCACCCCAGCUCACACUGAGUGACUGAGUGUGGUGUGGGCAACAGGACACACACCAGCCUGCUUUUCCCGUGUAUGUGUGUGGCGGGAGGGGGGCGGGGGAAGUGAUUAGCCAGAGAUGCUGGGA